CAAAAUGCUCUAUGAUCCUAUCACUUUCUCAAUGCUCUAUGAUCCUAUCACGAGAAAGUGAUAGGAUCAUAGAGCAUUGAGAAAGUGAUAGGAUCAUAGAGCAUUUU
rnacentral:pre_miRNA from 1 species